AACGAACGCUGGCGGCAUGCCUAACACAUGCAAGUCGAACGAGACCUUCGGGUCUAGUGGCGCACGGGUGCGUAACGCGUGGGAACCUGCCCUUGGGUUGGGAAUAACUCCCGGAAAGGGGUGCUAAAACGGGUAAAUUUUUUCGGACCAAAGAUUUUUCGCCUUUGGAUGGGCCGGCGUUGGAUUAGCUAGUUGGUAGGGUAAAAGCCUACCAAGGCGACGAUCCAUAGCUGGUCUGAGAGGAUGAUCAGCCACACUGGGACUGAGACACGGCCCAGACUCCUACGGGAGGCAGCAGUGGGGAAUAUUGGACAAUGGGCGAAAGCCUGAUCCAGCAAUGCCGCGUGAGUGAUGAAGGCCUUAGGGUUGUAAAGCUCUUUUACCCGGGAUGAUAAUGACAGUACCGGGAGAAUAAGCUCCGGCUAACUCCGUG
rnacentral:rRNA from 1 species